rnacentral:rRNA from 1 species
UACGUAGGGGGCAAGCGUUGUCCGGAUUUAUUGGGCGUAAAGAGCGUGUAGGCGGCCAUUCAGGUCAGCUGUGAAAACUCGAGGCUCAACCUCGAGACGUCGGUUGAAACCGUUUGGCUAGAGUCCGGAAGAGGAGAGUGGAAUUCCCGGUGUAGCGGUGAAAUGCGCAGAUAUCGGGAAGAACACCCGUGGCGAAGGCGGCUCUCUGGGCCGAUAUCGACGCUGAGGAGCGAAAGCGUGGGGAGCGAACAGG